ensembl:lncRNA
AGUAUUUAAAGACAUUAGGCUAGAUGAGAUUUCCCCUUGAAUUGGUACAGACACAAGAAAGAAGAGGCCCCAAAAUUGAGCCCUGGAGCACGCUGACACAUGUGGUCAUGGAAAUGAAGAAGGACUCACAAAGGGACUUGGACAAGUGGCCAAGAAGUAGGAGAAAUAACAGCAAAUGGAGGCAAGAACUGAUCAGGAGAGAGAACAGUGAGCAAGAAUUACAUCCUGCGUGGAAGAAAGCCCUAAAUAAUGUCAGUCUUAGAGGAGCCAGCCAGCCGAGACAUGAUUCCCAUAAAAAUCAAACUGCAAAGAAAUAAAGAAAAGGUGUUAAAGUUCAUGGCUGGAAAGCCAUGUUUUUCUGCUGGCCCCUGUGGGAGGGGAGUUAUUAUUUUAGUGUGGGAAUAGGAAUAUAACAAUCUUUCCCAAUCAGAAUAGGUUUGGAUGGGUUACCAUGAUUCACACGCUGUGACUCACAUAUGAAAAUUCUCACUAGUCUAUUACUAAUAGUUUAUAUCCCUUAAAAAGGAGACUAGAUGAAGCAGAGGGAUUACAUAAUUCGUUUCUUUUCAUCUUCUUCCUUGGAUUUAUCUGACAUGAUAAUUUCAGGAACAGAAACUUUCUCUCCUUCCUGCAAAGAGAAAAAUAAAAUCUCAUUACUUUCUUCA